AGAGUUUGAUCCUGGCUCAGGACGAACGCUGGCGGCGGGCCUAACACAUGCAAGUCGCAGGGGAUUAGGACUUCGGUCUUAUGAGACUGGCGCACGGGUGAGUAACACGUAGGCAACCUGCCCUGGAGCGGGGGAUAACAUCGCGAAAGUGGUGCUAAUACCGCAUAAUACAGCGGAUCCGCAUGGAUAUGUUGUUAAAGCAGCAAUGCACUUCAGGAUGGGCCUGCGUCGCAUUAGCUAGUUGGUAGGGUAGUGGCCUACCAAGGCAGUGAUGCGUASUGGUCUGAGAGGAUGAUCAGCCACACGGGGACUGAGACACGGCCCCGACUCCUACGGGAGGCAGCAGUGAGGAAUAUUGCGCAAUGGACGCGAGUCUGACGCAGCCACGCCGCGUGGAGGAAGACGGCCCUAUGGGUUGUAAACUCCUUUUAUCGGAGAAGAAAGCGGGGAUUCGUCCCUGUAUAGACGGUAACCGAUGAAUAAGCACCGGCUAACUCCGUGCCAGCAGCCGCGGUAAUACGGAGGGUGCAAGCGUUGUCCGGAAUCAUUGGGUGUAAAGGGUGCGCAGGCGGAUGGGUAAGUCUGGGGUGAAAUCUUGCCGCUUAACGGCAAAACUGCCUUGGAUACUGCUCAUCUUGAGUGUGAGAGAGGCCGGUGGAAUUCGUGGUGUAGCGGUGAAAUGCUUAGAUAUCACGAAGAACACCAGUGGUGCAGACGGCCGGCUGGCUCACAACUGACGCUCAGGCACGAGAGCGUGGGGAGCAAACAGGAUUAGAUACCCUGGUAGUCCACGCUGUAAACGUUGCGUGCUAGGUGUUGGCCCUACGGGGUCGGUGCCGCAGCUAACGCGUUAAGCACGCCACCUGGGGAGCACGUCGGCAACGAUGAAACUCAAAGGAAUUGACGGGGGCCCGCACAAGCGGUGGAGCAUGUGGCUUAAUUCGAUGCAACGCGAAGAACCUUACCCGGGCUAAAUCAUAGAGGACCGGUCUGGAGACAGGCCUUUCCUUCGGGACUUUUAUGAAGGUGCUGCAUGGCUGUCGUCAGCUCGUGCCGUGAGGUGUUGGGUUAAGUCCCGCAACGAGCGCAACCCCUGUGGUCAGUUACCAGCAUGUAAUGAUGGGGACUCUGGCCAGACUGCCUACGCAAGUAGUGAGGAAGGUGGGGACGACGUCAAGUCAUCAUGGCCCUUACGUCCGGGGCUGCACACGUGCUACAAUGGGUGGUACAGACGGAAGCUACACCGCGAGGUGAUGCAAAUCUGUAAAACCACUCCCAGUUCGGAUUGGAGUCUGCAACUCGACUCCAUGAAGGUGGAAUCGCUAGUAAUCGCGCAUUAGCUACGGCGCGGUGAAUACGUUCCCGGGCCUUGUACACACCGCCCGUCAAGCGAUGGGAGUGGAUAGUACCUAAUGCGGCUGAGCUAACCGAUAAGGGAGCAAGCCUCUAGGGUAAGAUUCAUACUGGCGCUAAGUCGUAACAAGGUA
rnacentral:rRNA from 1 species